UGCCCUCUCUUUGACAAUGAUUAUAGUAAUUGAACAGAAUAUAGUCUUCUCCAUUGAAGUGUAUGAAUGUAGACACUUAAAGUUAUAUUUUCAAAGAAGCAUGAAUAGACUUAGCCAUGUGUCUCCUGUUAAUACCAGUGGUGUCAUGCAAGGAAGUGCUUUUGGUCAUUGGAUUGAAAACGUACUCCAUGACAUUAAAUGCAAGUAUCCUUUAGUAUCAUCAAUUAUCCAAUUUUUCUAUGACUUCUUUUCAAUUAAUUUUGUUCUGGAAUGUAGAGUUAUCUGACUUUUUUUCUGGUUUAAUGAUAGUAGUGCUUGCAUUUUUAGUAUUUAUCAAGUGCUGACUGGAUCUUUUUGGUUGAAAAGUUGGUUAGGGAAAUUACUGUCAAGCUCACUCACCACCAUAGUAACCAAAUUUUAAUACCUUCUCGGGAUACAGACAUUUAUAUAAUCUAACUCUGUGGCACUGAGGUGCAGUGUAUGUAGUGUAUUUAUGAUUGAACAGAAAGUUUCAAACAGCAGCCUGUGAAAUUGGAUUUUAGAUGUAAUGUACCAUAAAUAAGUGCUAUAAAGAUUGCCUUUAAUGCUAUAAAUCAGAUUUUAUUGGUUUCAGCUAUCUCAUUCUGGUUAUUGUAUUACCCACAAAAUCAGAGGAAAUCAAAGAGCUGGAAUAUUUUUUAUUUUAAUAUCCCAUAUUCUACAGUAAUGGCACAUGCACCCUUACAGCUUCCUUUUUGGGUAGGUUGGACAAGGUUGACAGGUGGCAGGCCCCAGCAACAUAUCAGUGGCAGUAUCGGUGUAAACAACGAAACUUUGGGGCUUGAAACAGUUUAAGAUUUCCUGUCUGUGAAACCUACAAGGUAGGUGAAUUGGCAGAUCCCUUCCCCGUCUGAGAAGCUGGUUGUCAUGUUCUUCAUGCUAAGCUGACACCUGUAGAAAUUGGCAGGUGAUGUGUGCUGUGCAUCUUCUGGAAAGUUUAUAGACUUUGGUGAUGAGGCUAUCUAUCCAUUGAGGAUGGGGAUGCCCAUGCAUGACUUACCCGAGUUAUUUAAAGCACCCAAAACUGUUGCUAUAAAAGAAAGUUGUCUACUUAAGCAAUCUCCCAAUAUUUGAUUUACAACCAAUGCUUCUGCACCCCUCCCUAACACUUUGAUGGUUUUCUACUAAGUACAGUUUAGUCCAGAAAAUUGACUGUUUUUUAAAAAUGCUUGGGAAAGCUUACAAAUGGAGUGUUAGAGCCCAAGAGGCUACAGUAAUCUAAAAAUGAACUAGUUAGGUCCAGAGCAGUAUUUAGGCUAUUUAAUGUGCAGUUUGUGCUUGUGUGUGGUUUUCCUCAAUGUGUACUUACACAAGUAUCCUGGGUUCAAGAUACAGUGAAGCACCUACCCAGGCCUUGAACAUCUGACUUUCAUUUCAUUGGUCAAGGUUGAAGCCUUGGUGUAAUGUGAAGAAGUCAAUAGGACAAAUGGGAUUUCUUGAACAGAGGUCAUCAGUGACACACAUCCUCAUUACGCUUCACUUUUUGAUUAUUUUAUUUUUACUGUGGCAUCAUGCCAGAUAUGUUCUCAUUAGUUCCCACACCUGUAAAAUAACCAAAUUUAGCAAUCAGAGAAGAUAUUGAAAUCUUGUGUUUUAUCUUGAUUAAAAAGAAAUCUAAUUCCACAAAUGCUUCAGUGAUCUUUAACCUGCUGCCUGCUGGAAAUAUAAGCCAUAUAUACCGUCCUUGUUAUGUCUGAGUUCAGCAGUUAAUAUUAAAAAAAAAAAAAAAAAAAAA
ensembl:lncRNA